UACAUCCUACGGGACGCAGCAGUGAGGAAUAUUGGUCAAUGGGCGCGAGCCUGAACCAGCCAAGUAGCGUGAAGGAUGACUGCCCUACGGGUUGUAAACUUCUUUUAUAAAGGAAUAAAGUGAGGCACGUGUGCCUUUUUGUAUGUACUUUAUGAAUAAGGAUCGUCUAACUCCGUGCCAGCAGCCGCGGUAAUACGGAGGAUCCGAGCGUUAUCCGGAUUUAUUGGGUUUAAAGGGAGCGUAGAUGGGUUGUUAAGUCAGUUGUGUAAGUUUGCGGCUCAACCGUAAAAUU
rnacentral:rRNA from 1 species